rnacentral:rRNA from 1 species
UACGUAGGGAGCAAGCGUUGUUCGGAUUUACUGGGCGUAAAGGGCGCGUAGGCGGCAAAUUAAGUCAGCUGUGAAAUCUCCGAGCUUAACUCGGAACGGUCAGCUGAUACUGAUCUGCUAGAGUGCGGAAGGGGCAAUCGGAAUUCUCGGUGUAGCGGUGAAAUGCGUAGAUAUCGAGAGGAACACCUGCGGCGAAGGCGGGUUGCUGGGCUGAUACUGACGCUGAGGCGCGAAAGCCAGGGGAGCGAACGGG